UUUUCCUCUGCUCUGCCUUAUUUUCAAAACACAGAUCCUCAACCCUAGCAUCUUCUAUUGUCCUCCACCCCUUCCUCCUCCCAGCCGACACCUCCACAUCUCCGUUGUCACCUCAUCCACUUCCACAGUCCCCCAGUCAACUCCCCCACCUCCACAGUCCGCCGCCGCCACUCUCCACAAACCGCCGCCGCCGCCCGUCACCCCUUCCUCCUCGCAGCCUCCGCCACUCUGGUAGGAGUCACGAUUAGAGCUCGAACUACGUUGGUGGAGACGAUGGAUAAUCCGAUAACAGUGAAGAGGAGGAAGCUCAGUACUUCGUUACUGUUUGUGCAAAUUGAAGAAUCUGGAAGUUUCAGAUCUAGAGGAGAGUGUUGAAACUGGAUCGACUAUAUAUAAUUCAGAUGGAGACAAAAGCAUGCCUGAACGUAAACCAAGCGAAGAUGAGCACAACGGUGAUGAAAAGCCAAGGAAAAGUUGUUGCAAGAAUCGGAUAGUAAAAGCUGCAAUAAUGCAAAAACAAGUUAGUGAUCAAGAAGAGGAAUUGAAGAACAUGAAAGCGAGAUUAGAUGAAGUAGAAACUGAAAGAAACCGAGCAGUUGUAGAGGUUAAAGAAGCUAAAGAGUUGGCUAAUACAGGAUUAUUGCCUCAAAAAGUCGAACGAAUGUUUUCAGAGCUCAAGAGUUUACAAGAGUUGCUAUCAAAUUCGAUAAAAGAGAUCAAAUCAAGAGAUGAAGAGAUCAAUGAAUUGAGCAAGCAGCUUGAAUCUGCAAAGGUGUUCGAGGCUAAGUUAGCUGAUAGGGAUGCUUCUUUGGAGCAAUUCAAGAAGCAGAUUUAAGAACUCGAAAAUGAACCGGAGAAAACGAAGAAAUCAGAAUCACAUAUGCUGGAAUCAUUGAUGCUGCAAACCCGACAAUUCGAGCAAACUAAAAUGGACUUAGAAAAAUCAAAGCUUGAUGUUGUGACCCUUCAAGAAAAUCUCAAUAGCCUUCAAAACGGUGGUAAAAACGGGUUCAAUCAAACGAGUAAUCUGGAUUCAUCUUCGAAUGCUAAAAUUCUGAGAGACGAAAUAGCAAUGAUGAGAAAAGAAGUGAAAUUAGCAACAAAAGCUGAGGAGACAAGCAAAAAAGCUAUGGAUGAUUUAGCAUCGGCUUUAAGCGAAGUAGCGAUGGAAUCCAGUACAGUGAACGAACGACUACGAUUAUUAGAAGAACAAGUAGCCCAUUUGAAAAAGGAAAUCGAACGGUUACGUGAAGAACUUGAGUUACAAAUGGAGACAUCUGAAAGAUUAAGAGUGGAGUCUGAAGAACAGGUUCUUGCAUGGACUGCGAAAGAAAUGGGAUUCAUAAGUUAUAUAAAGAAAGCCGGCGAAGACAACGCGUCACUCAAACAAGAAAACCAUAAACAUAAUGAAGCUUUAGUUGCAGUAGAGAACACCACGAGAAUUGCAAGAGAAGAAGGUUUGAAGCGAAGGGAUAUCCUCAAAGAUGAUGCUGAUAUGCUCCGAUACAGGUAAAACAAAAGUUUUGCACACUCCAUUACUUGACCGGAGAAAGCAACCGACUACGGCGAUUCCGAUCUUCCAUCGUCGGCGACCAUGACUACAUCAACCGAACAACAUUUCUCCAAAGUAAUCUUCAAAUCUUCAUUCUCUAAGUUAGUGUUUCAUUAAUUUCACAUCAAAUCAAUCGAGUUUUAUUUAGUUAUAUGAGGUUUGGCUUUCUCAUCGUGAAGCUUUAGAUGCACAUAUACAAGACAGAAUCAUGAAGGAGAGAGAGAGAGAGAGAGAGAGAGAGAGAGAGAGAGAGAGAGAGAGAGAGAUGCAGAGUUACAUUGAAGAGCGUGAAUGACAAGUCGCUGAAUGUGAAGCAGCCUAGAAAGCUUUAGAUGCAAACAUAAAAUGAUGACAACCGGUGGAUAUGGUAUAUCUGUCUAUUUUUCUUUAUUGCAGCAGUAUUAUGAUCAUCAAUAAGGUGGCGUUUUUUCAGUGUUUGGAUCACUAUGAUAUGGGCCAGCAUCUAAGUGAAUGUCUGCAUAGUCAAUGUUGGAAAACAGUCGACGCAUUUCAAAGAUCAGGCCAUGCUGCAAUGUUAUACACUCAAAGUUUCAAACGUGUUCUUAUGGAUGGUCAAAAUAUGGCCUACAGAAGUCAAACAUGGAGUUUUUAGAUACUGAGAUGGGCGGUAAAUUUCAAGAUAUACCGGUGAUGAAGAUCUUAGUAUGGGAAUGAAAACAAAGAUUGAAAUCUUGCUCAAUUUCUACUGACAAGAUGGUUGUUUGAUGAUAAUUAAAGGCUCUACAACAGUAAUCACACAAAAUAACAAGCCAAACAAGAUUAUAAUGCAGCACAUCAUGGAUGGGUCAAAGAUCAAUAAAUACACCGAGAUGCUAAAGAAGAAGGUGACGAUGCAAUGUGCUGAGUUUAUGUUGUAUGAUCCGGUUGAAGGAUAAUGGAAAUUUAGAGUCCAGCACUUCUUAAGUGAAUAUAGUUUUUUUCUUUAGUGGGCUACUGAUAUAGGAUUUAUUUGAUUUCUAUGAUGAAGUUGUGUCUAAUGUGUUUUACAGUCUAAAUAUUUGAUUUGUAAUUAUUAACAGUUGCUUGAAUGCAGAUGUUAUUUCGUUCACAAAGAUUAAUAAAUCGUAUAUUUUCCUA